CAUGCAAGUGAGCGGUAGCCUAGAGAGCUUGCUCUCUGGGUGACGAGCGGUGGACUGGGGAGUAAUGUCUGGGAAACUGCCUGAUGGAGGGCGGAUAACUACUGGAAACAGGUAGCUUAAUACCGCAUGACGUCUUCGGACCAAAGAUGGGGGACCUUCGGGCCUCACGCCAUCAGAUGUGCCCAGAUGGGAUUAGCUAGUAGGUGGGGUAAUGGCUCACCUAGGCGACGAUCUCUAUCUGGUCUGAGAGGAUGACCAGCCCCACUGGAACUGAGCCAGGUUCAACCUUAAUACGGGAGGUAGUAGUGGGGAAUAUUGUACAAUGGGCGUAAGCCUGAUGCAGCCAUGCCGCGUGUAUGAAGAACGCCUUCGGGUUGUAAAGCACUUUCACCGAGGAGGAAGGCAUUGUGCCUAAUAAUCCACGUGAUUGACGUUACUCGCAGAAGAAGCUCCGGCUAACUCCGUGCCAGCAGCCCCCGGUAUUACUGAGGGUGCAAGCGUUUUAUUGGAAUUACUGGGCCUAAAGCGCCACCCCGCCCGUUUGAUUAAAGUCCGAUGUGAAAUCCCCCGAGCUUAACUUGGGGAACUGCUAUUUGAAACUGGUCA
rnacentral:rRNA from 1 species